AUCUUAUCUUUAUUUUUUUUUUCUCCAAUUAUUUCACUUAACGUUUCACUCAAGCUAGAUAACCUUUUUCCUACGCGUUAUCUCCCCCCUAAAACCCUAAAAAGAAAAACUUUUCAUUCUUUUCCUUUUUCAAUUUACAUACUCUAUAUGGAUGAUGAUCAUCACCACUCUUCCGAUCCGAUCGAUUCCGCUUGGAAUCUUCACACCGAUUUCGGUUUCUUCAGCACCGAUACAAAAGACAACAACAUAUUAAAUGAUUUCGGAUGGAACAUCCAGCUUCCUCCAGAAUCGACCGAUGAUUCUGGAGGAGGUAAUAAUUCUAGCUAUUAUAAGACAGAAAUGAACAAUAAUAAUAAUUCUACGGGUUAUUUUCAAUCCGGAUCUGUCGACAACUCAGGGGAUGUAUCGAUGACGCCGACUAAUCCGUUACCGUCAUCUAGCUCUUCUGAGGAUCGACCUGAAGCAGCUUCUGGUGAUGUCGGUCCUAGUGAUAAACCCCCGCCGCCACCAGACACAGGUGUCAAGGUUAAAAAGAAAGGUCCAAAAAGAAUUCGUCAACAGCGGGUUGCAUUCAUGACAAAGAGCGAAAUUGAUCAUCUCGAAGAUGGUUAUCGAUGGAGAAAAUAUGGACAGAAAGCUGUUAAAAAUAGCCCUUUUCCUAGGAGCUAUUACCGCUGCACGAAUAGCAAAUGCACGGUGAAGAAAAGAGUAGAGCGUUCAUCAACAGAUCCUACAACUGUAAUUACGACAUAUGAAGGCCAACAUUGUCAUCACACUAUAGGAUUCCCAAGAGGAUUAUUAAAUCAAGAAAGUGUCUAUGCACGAUACAUGGCCGCGUCCCCUUCUUCUAACACCUCACAGCAACUUAUCUAUCCAAGAGCCCAAUUGCCUCAAAUUGGUAAUCUUAGCGUCUCUCGACUACACUCACUACAGCCACGAGUAGUUGUACCUAGUUCUGAAGCUGCUGGAAAUCAUGGCUCCCAUGAACUGCAGCCGGAUGAUGAUCAAUCAUCUUUUCAUCAAGCAGAUUCUCGAGUAGAUCAUCAAGGAUUGCUUGGGGAUAUCGUGUCUCCAAAAACACGUAACUGAUCGGUGACAGUUUAAAGGGCGUAGCCCGUAAGUUAUAGGCGAAGCCUCUCAGACUAUGACGGAGCCAAAAUAGCUAAGCGCGAAGCUCGUAAGUUCUGAUCAGAUGGUAGAUUUGGUCGAGAUUGCACUCCAAGUAUCCACUAAUUAAGAUCGACUCGUUAAGUUGCCAGGUAAAAACAAGGGCAAACUUUUUAGUGGAGAUAUCAUGCUGCAUUGACUUAAAAAGAUUUUAAUCCACUGAUGAUGAUGAUCGAAUUGUUUAUUCAUUAUUGUUAAUCUAUUCUUUGAAAUUGAUGAUGAGUGGCUAACCUUCUUUUUCCUA